UACGGAGGGGGCUAGCGUUGUUCGGAAUUACUGGGCGUAAAGCGCACGUAGUCGGCUUUGUAAGUUAGAGGUGAAAGCCCGGGGCUCAACUCCGGAAUUGCCUUUAAGACUGCAUCGCUAGAAUUGUGGAGAGGUAAGUGGAAUUCCGAGUGUAGAGGUGAAAUUCGUAGAUAUUCGGAAGAACACCAGUGGCGAAGGCGACUUACUGGACAGAUAUUGACGCUGAGAUGCGAAAGCGUGGGGAGCAAACAGG
rnacentral:rRNA from 1 species